UACGGAAGGGGCAAGCGUUGUUCGGAAUCAUUGGGCGUAAAGGGCGCGUAGGUGGCUCUGUGUGUCUACCGUGAAAGCGUACGGCUCAACCGUAUUUUGUCGGUAGAAACUGCAGGACUUUGAGGCUGGGAGGGGCUGGUGGAAUUCCCUGUGUAGCGGUGGAAUGCGUAGAGAUCGGGAAGAACAUCAGUGGCGAAGGCGGCUUCUUGGGCCGUUCCUGACGCUGAUGCGCGAAAGCUGGGGGAGCGAACGGG
rnacentral:rRNA from 1 species